UUAAAAUUAAAAAAUAAUAAAAAUGAAUAAAAACUAAAACUAACACAAAAAGCUCUCAGGAGAUUGAAGUCUGCUGAUGGUCAGUCUUGGUAUCCUGGUGAGAGUGUCAGAGGGGGACAGGCCGGUGCAGUGACCGCCCACAGGUGCACCGGCUAGGGGAACCUUUCCUGUCACCCAUGUGGCUUCACUCUGACAUUCUUCAUUCUGCAGGGCCAUACGGGUCCACUUGUCUUUACACACCCAAACACAUUCACCUAAAGCCACCCGGUCAUUAAAAUCCCUUUAUAUCAACAAAACAGAACAUACAACAAGUUUACAGAUUUUAGGACCACAUAAUUAUGGCAUCUAAUUUACAAAGCCUCUAAGCCAAGUUUUCUAUUGUUGCACAAACCACUGGCAGUCCUGAUGACAUUAUAUACAGUUCUGUGUGGUCUUUACUGAUUUCCCGCCCCACCUCACCCUCAAACAAAGGCAACUACAACCAACGUACAAAAAGACAAAAAACUAGGGAACUACCUCAUGCCAGAACCAUCAAGGGCUGUUUGCUAAAUUAGUGACCAGGAGGACCCAAAGAAUAGGUGACAUUGGAGUCAACUCACAGCUCCCUGCCAGACGCCUGGGCUCCGCUCCUUCCUCAGAAAGGGCAGGAGAGGAAACCGCCUCCGGGUCGGGGCUGCCGGAUCCUUCCAGCAGCAGGAAGUGGGCGGAGCAAGUGCACCCGGGAACCAGAGGCGAUCUUGCAAUUCCGGGGGCUAAGGCCCUCGGUGCACAAAGGCUCUGCGCCCGAGGGGAGACGCGUGACCGUGACUACCCUCUGACAUUUUCCCCCAGCUGCUUCGCUAGAGAUGGAAAAUUGACAGGGACCAACUUUGCAACAAUGUGUCAGUGUGACGGAGCCGAGCAAAUACUGCGGAUUCUGCAGACCAGCUUGAGCGCUGCCUCGUGGCCCAGUGCCCCGAGGAUGCAGGGUGUUGAAGAAGCCUUGCUUCCUCCGCCCAGAGCCGCAAAACUGAGAGCAGGGCCAAAGAGGACGCUUCUGGGACCCCGCCACCGGUGCUGGGGUCCCCGCGCUGGCUGUCACCUGGCCUUGAGUCUGCAAGGUGGAUUUAAAGCUCCCAGCCCUCCGGCACCCGCCCAACGGAAGCUGCAGAGGCCGCCGAGCAGGGGCUGAGACAGACCAGCUCCCCCACUGGACGGAGACAGCUUUGGCUGUCUCUGGAGCUACGUUUCCUCCGAGCCUUCGGAAACCAGCGGAGAAGUCAGCUCACCUGAUAAGCUUUUGGAGGUGCACUCAGCACGUCUGAGCUAGGUUGUGUCUUCCUGCUUUUAUGUUGCCACGCCUGGUAAUCUACGAUGGGAACCAGACAUCGUGGAUGACACCGAGGUGGGUGCUGAGUGUCUUCAUCUUCCUCUACCAGAUUUUUGAGCUUUUGUCCGAGCUACAGUUAUCUUGCAGAGAAAUAGUUCGAUCCUUUUAGGUCUUGCGUCGUCAUUUGUCAAAGGGCCCCCCAGCGCUUCCUCUGGAGCCGCUGGAGAAAGAAGGCGGUGGGCAUUCUGCCCAACUGCCUCUGAAUUGUCAGUGUUUUCAGUCUGCCUUGUGGCAACAGACUCUGUCUCCGAUUCUUUGCAAGUCCUCGAUUCUGUUCUUUGAUCUUUUCCAGUGAUUUUCCCCACCACGGGCUCAGAUGAUGUCUUCACGCACGUGCCCCGCAAAUAACCGGGUUUCCUCUGUAUGUCGUUGCCUUUAUUGGGUGCUCUUUCCUGCCUCACACUCUCCCGGCUUUUAGAUUUGUCUCCUCAGUUCUGUUUCUGCUGAGUUCCCUCUUCUUGCGCCCUGCCCUAGACCUCCAGGUUGUGGUCCCUCCUUGCCUUCUCCCUGUUGGUGUUUAGUGUUUUCUCUCCUUUUGGAAGCUUGCACCCAACCCAGGCCCCUGUCCUGAUGCACUCGAUGGGAGACAAAACCCACAGCGGUGGCUUGCUCUCUGCGCGUCUUUCUUUCAUC